UGGGGAAUUUUGGACAAGUGGGGGCAACCCUGAUCCAGCCAUGCCGCGUGUAGUGAACGAAAGGCCUUCGGGUUGUACAAGCACUUUGUCGGAACGAACACGGUUGAUGCGAAUAACAUCAGCUAAUGACGGUACCGGAAGAAUAAGCACCGGCUAACUACGUUGCCCAGCAGCCGCGGGUAAAUACGUAGGGUGCAAGCGUUAAAUCGGAAUUUACCUUGGGCGUAAAAAGCGGUGCCGCAGGGCGGGUUUUCGGCAAGGUUCAGAAUGUGAAAUCCCCGGGCUUCAACCCUGGGGAAACUGCAUUUGAAACUACGAGGCUAGCAGUGUGUCAGAGGGGGUAGAAUUCCA
rnacentral:rRNA from 1 species